UUUUAGACCCGAUAGAAGCGACAUCCUUUAUUGCUUUUUUUAAUGCAAUAAAGAUAUAGCGCAUAGCGGGACCACUA
rnacentral:ncRNA from 1 species